GUAGUCAUAUGCUUGUCUCAAAGAUUAAGCCAUGCAUGUCUAAGUAUAAGCAACUAUACGGUGAAACUGCGAAUGGCUCAUUAAAUCAGUUAUCGUUUAUUUGAUAGUACCUUACUACAUGGAUAACCGUGGUAAUUCUAGAGCUAAUACAUGCUAAAAGCCUCGACUUCGGAAGAGGUGUACUUAUUAGAUAAAAAACCAAUGCCCUUCGGGGCUGCUUGGUGAAUCAUAAUAAUUUCACAAAUCGCAUGGCCUUGCGCCGGCGAUGGUUCAUUCAAAUUUCUGCCCUAUCAACUUUCGAUGGUAGGAUAGUGGCCUACCAUGGUUUCAACGGGUAACGGGGAAUUAGGGUUCGACUCCGGAGAGGGAGCCUGAGAAACGGCUACCACAUCCAAGGAAGGCAGCAGGCGCGCAAAUUACCCAAUGCCGACACGGCGAGGUAGUGACAAUAAAUACUGAUCCAGGGCUCUUUCGGGUCUUGGAAUUGGAAUGAGUACAAUUUAAAUCCCUUAACGAGGAACAACUGGGGGGCAAGUCUGGUGCCAGCAGCC
rnacentral:rRNA from 1 species